GCAGUGUUUACAUAGAGAAGGUCUGUGGCUGCUACUGGAUGGGAGCCGAAAAUAGCAGAGAUGAUCUAAACGUGACAAGAGAAUGUAAUAUUAUGGAGUACCUCACGUGUUUCAUUCCACAUCUAAAGCAGUCUCGAUUUCGACAACG